rnacentral:tRNA from 1 species
UUCCUGAUAGCUCAGUUGGUAAAGCAUCUGCCUGCAAUGCAGGAGGCCCCAGGUCAAUUCCUGGGUGGGAAA